GAGGAAAGUCCGGGCUCCACAGGGCAGGGUGGUUGCUAACGGCAACCCGGGGUGACCCGCGGGACAGUGCCACAGAAAACAGACCGCCCGGCCGACAGCGGCCGGGUAAGGGUGAAACGGUGGUGUAAGAGACCACCAGCGCCUCGGGUGACCGGGGCGGCUCGGUAAACCCCACCCGGAGCAAGGCCAAGAGGAAGCCCUCGGGCUUCUGCGCAGGCGUUCGAGGGCGGCCCGUCCGAUGCCCGCGGGUAGGCCGCUAGAGCCUGUCGGCGACGGCAGGCCCAGAUGGAUGGUCGCCCAUCGUCCGCCGCGAGGCGGGCGUGGAUAGAACCCGGCGUAG
rnacentral:RNase_P_RNA from 14 species